ACUUUGGCAUUUUCCUUAAAUUCACUCGAAUCAUACAUACGUGAGAAUCACCUAAUGAUCAAUGAUCCACCUGCAAACAAUGCUCAAUUGCACAAUCGCUCCCGCAAGGCAUUUUCAAGUAGUUCACACUUUUCGACCAAGGUUCUAAAAGUUCAUCACACUACUCACAUAUACUCUUAAUUCAAGGUAAUUCACUCAAAUCAACACAUCAAUGCAAGUCAACCAUAAUUUUGCAAGUAAUCUAAAAAUUCAUUCGGUUCACUUUGUGCACACACAUUAGAGGUCUUCUAGGGUUAUAACGUGGCUUGGCUAGGGUGAAUGGUG
rnacentral:lncRNA from 1 species